rnacentral:lncRNA from 1 species
GUAGAGGCCUUUCUAUUUUUCUGCAGUAUGCUUUGUAAUUAUUUGGUUUUCCUCUGAACCCAAAACUUGACUCAGAUUUGAGUUAGCCACAAGGGAUAUUUUGGGAGGUAUUGUAAAGGCAGAGAAAUCAAGCUUAAGCCCCUCUUUAUUAUUAUGUUUAACCGCAGGAAACUCUCAUUGUUCAGUUUUGUCUUGACAUUGAACAGGGCAGGUGUGUCCACAUAAGGUGCAACAGAGAGGAUUUGCAUGCUGGCUUGCUGAAGUGACAGAAUUGUGCAAAAUAACUGCAGUGGUCUGGCAAGCUUCAGGAAGCAGGAAAAAGAUUGCUCAAACUGAAGCAUCUAGGAAAUCAUGAAAAUUUCAUCAGGGAACUUUUUCAGAAGGAUAAAAGUCAGGUAAAGAGACCAGAAUGGUCAGCAAUCUGGUAAUUAGAAAACUUACCUGAGAGCAUUUGAAGUACUGAUUAGAAUCUAGCCCUGCAGAGCACAAGGAUGUGGCUGAACAAAGAGGCAAUAGCUAUUCUGAGGUGGUUUUCUUUCUCAAAAACAGUGAGUUACAAGAAGAUAAUUGGAAGCAGUCAAGGACUUGAGAAUGCAUUCUUCGCUGACAUACAGUUUGCUGUGCUACCUCCCUGACUCCUUGUCAGGAUAGGAUGACUUACCUUCAUUCUUCCUUGCCUGUUAUGUGGCCAUUUGUUCACUAAUGUCAAUCAUUUACUGUGGCAUGUUAGGUCAAACCGUAAGAGGUGGGCUUCUUUUGGCACUAACUCAUGGAAAAGGUCCUUCCUGUGGAAUCAUUGUAACAGUUACAGCAUUGUAAUAUCUUCCUUUAGAUCAGGUAUGCAUUAUUGUAUUUGUGCCUAUAAGAUCUUCAGUGAAACGUGACUCUAAACCUGAAUUUUCUGACCAGUGUUUCUUGCUUAUGUUUGCCCAUGAAGUCCCAGCCUGUGUCCUGAAGGGAGGGAUGCUAUACAAGAUGCUACACUGGAAUUAGAAAUUACAAUUUAUCAACAGACAUAUUGUUCCUUACCACUAGAAAAAUAUUUCUUAUGUACCAAAGCUAGUUGUUAUAUUCAAAAGAGGAACUCUACUAAUCUGUGAUAGAUCAAGCCUGGGUCAGGCUGUCUAAAAAGCUCUUGAGUUUUGUAUCGAGUCAGUAAUUAUUGAAAUACCUUGAAAAAUAUACCUCACUUUUAGGUUUUGUAGAAUAAUACUUUUACUGAUUUUUUGUUUGUUUGUUUCUUUUCUUAUUCAGUGCUACAGUUGUAGGUAGUAGAUUGAAAGUACAUAGGCUGCUCUGAAAGUAAUGCCUGUUAUUUAUUUCCAUGGGAGCUAGAACAGAUACAAAGGGCAUAAUUAAGGCUAUUUGCUAGAGCAAAUAGUUUGGUCUCUAUAAA